rnacentral:rRNA from 1 species
CCUACGGGGGGCAGCAGUGAGGAAUAUUGGUCAAUGGUCGGGAGACUGAACCAGCCAAGCCGCGUGAGGGAGGAAGGUACAGAGUAUCGUAAACCUCUUUUGUCAGGGAACAAAGGCGGGGACGUGUCCCCGGAUGAGUUUACCUGAAGAAAAAGCAUCGGCUAACGCCGUGCCAGCAGCCGCGGUAAUACGGAGGAUGCGUGGGUUAUCUGGAUUUAUUGGGUUAAAAGGGUGCGCAGGCGGUCUGUUAAGUCAGCGGUAAAAGCCCGGGGCCCAACCCGGGCCGGCCGUUGAAACUGGCAGUCUCGAGUUGGAGAGAAGUAUGCGGAAUGCGCGGUGUAGCGGUGAAAUGCAUAGAUAUCGCGAAGAACUCCGAUUGCGAAGGCAGCAUGCCGGCUCCACACUGACGCUGAGGCACGAAAGCGUGGGUAUCGAACAGGAUUAGAUACCCCUGUAGUC